UACAGAGGCCCCAAGCGUUGUUCGGAUUCACUGGGCGUAAAGGGUGCGUAGGUGGCUUGGAAAGUUUGAUGUGAAAGCUCAGGGCUUAACCCUGAAAUGGCAUUGAAUACUGUCGAGCUGGAGGUUUGGAGGGGGGACUGGAAUUCUUGGUGUAGCAGUGAAAUGCGUAGAUAUCAAGAGGAACACCAGUGGCGAAGGCGAGUCCCUGGACAACACCUGACACUGAGGCACGAAAGCCGGGGGAGCAAACAGG
rnacentral:rRNA from 1 species